CAAGUCUAAUUGAAGCAAAAGAAAUGCAUCCCGCCACUAAUCACCGCGCCUUCUCUCUCUGUCUAUCUCUGAGUUGCCAUAGCAUCGACCACCCAAGAAAACCGUACGUCUCCAGGUGCCUCACUCCGCAUUCAAAUGUGAAGCAUUACUACGGUUUCAUUUCAGCAGGGCGUCUUUGGAGUGUUGCAAUUUUCAAAAAAGCCCGUCGCCGAUUGAUUCAAUCCGUAGCAGAUUUUGGCGCGAAGAAGCUCCAUUGAUCCCGAAUACACAAAUGUGUUGGAGCAAUGAAUAGGGCACCUCAUAUGAGGCAAGAUCGUCCCAAUCUGGGUCAAGAUUUAUGUGCCCAGACGCCUGUUAAAGCUAAUUUGUUGGAGCAUGUCAAUGCACUUGAUAAUUUCUCGUGCCCGCAUAGUGUUCUGAGUUCAAAUUUUAUUUUUUCCUCACCAACACAAAAACCUCUGGCCGAAGAGGCAAUGGUUUCCGGAUUGCAAGAGAAUUCGAGAAGUUUGGCAAUCCAAGAGCGUCCCCUGCACAAAUAGAAAUGGAUGCGAUCUUGGACCCGCCGACGAGAUGAGCAGGUGAUGUUAUUGCUUUCGACAUCUCCUUCUUUUUGUAUCUUUUUUAAAAAUGUUAUUCUUUAGGCUGCUUCAGAGUAUCUCUCUUCUAGUUGCCUCAUUGUUCAUUGUUUGCUAUCCGAAGGAUAGGAUUUGUAACUUUGUAGUGCUAGCCUUAUAUUUUGUGUUCAUCUUUUGUUUUAUUGUACCUUAAGAUUCAUUCGGUGUAAUUAGAUUUGUUUAAAGAGAAGAAUUAGACAAUCGAUACAAUACAUGAAUUUUACCACAUAAGUUUGGAUUGUGUUCAGAUUGAAUCCUUCAUACCAACUUGAAG